rnacentral:rRNA from 1 species
UGGGCAACCUGCCCUCAGCUCUGGGAUAACUCCAAGAAAUUGGGGCUAAUACCGGAUAUGACCGCUGACCGCAUGGUCUGGUGGUGGAAAAGAUUUAUCGGCUGGGGAUGGGCC